CGCACAUUACUAAUAUGUGAAAUGAGAGAAGGAAGCAGAGGUCACACUCCACGUGUGCUUGAGGAUGGUCAGCUAAGGAACGCUGGUGUUUGCACGAUGCAGAGGAGCCACAGAGAAGUCUGUCUGCAUCCACUGUUUCCUUCAGUAACGUAGAUUUCCUCCACAUCAGAAACCUCUCCACGAAGGACAACUUCCAAAAGCCAUUCCUGGCUCUUCUGAUCCUCUGAAGUCAUACCAAAAUGGGGGAUGGUGGGGGGCACUUUGAAGAGGUGUACUUCAAAUGUCAAGAUAUUUUUCAUUCUUUGGAAAUUAUAGAUAUGUGCACAGUGUAUUUUGAUCAUAUCCAUCUCUUGUCCCUGUUGUCUCUUUCUAGUUCCCCACUCAAGAGUCU
rnacentral:lncRNA from 1 species